rnacentral:rRNA from 1 species
UGGGGAAUAUUGCACAAUGGGCGCAAGCCUGAUGCAGCCAUGCCGCGUGUGUGAAGAAGGCCUUCGGGUUGUAAAGCACUUUCAGCGGGGAGGAAGGCGUUAAGGUUAAUAACCUUGGCGAUUGACGUUACCCGCAGAAGAAGCACCGGCUAACUCCGUGCCAGCAGCCGCGGUAAUACGGAGGGUGCAAGCGUUAAUCGGAAUUACUGGGCGUAAAGCGCACGCAGGCGGUCUGUCAAGUCGGAUGUGAAAUCCCCGGGCUCAACCUGGGAACUGCAUUCGAAACUGGCAGGCUAGAGUCUUGUAGAGGGGGGUAGAAUUCCAGGUGUAGCGGUGAAAUGCGUAGAGAUCUGGAGGAACACCGGUGGCGAAGGCGGCCCCCUGGACGAAGACUGACGCUCAGGUGCGAAAGCGUGGGGAGCAAACAGG